GAAUUCGAUUAACGCGAAGAACCUUACCCAGGCUUGAACUGCAGGUGACAUCCUACGAAAGUAGGCUUCCGCAAGGACACCUGUAGAGGUGCUGCAUGGCUGUCGUCAGCUCGUGUCGUGAGAUGUUGGGUUAAGUCCCGCAACGAGCGCAACCCUUGUCUUCUGUUGCCAUCAGGUUACGCUGGGCACUCUGAAGAGACUGCCGGUGACAAACCGGAGGAAGGUGGGGAUGACGUCAAGUCAGCAUGGCCUUUAUGUCUGGGGCCACACACGUGCUACAAUGGCCGGUACAAACCGUCGCAAACUCGCAAGGGUGAGCUAAUCGGAGAAAGCCGGUCUCAGUUCGGAUUGUAGGCUGCAACUCGCCUGCAUGAAGUUGGAAUCGCUAGUAAUCGCGGAUCAGCACGCCGCGGUGAAUACGUUCCCGGGCCUUGUCACACCGAAUCACUA
rnacentral:rRNA from 1 species